rnacentral:rRNA from 1 species
GACGAACGCUGGCGGCGUGCCUAAUACAUGCAAGUCGAACGCAGUGGGGACGGGUGAGUAACACGUGGGUAACCUCCCAUCAGAGGGGAUAACACUUGGAAACAGGUGCUAAACCGAUACUGAUGGAUGGACCCGCGGUGCCGUAGCCAGUGGGUGAGGUAACGGCGCACCAAGGCCACGAUGCCUAGCCGACCUGAGAGGGUGAUCGGCCACACGGGAACGGAGAAACGGCACAGACUCCUACGGGAGGCAGCAGUAGGGAAUCUUCGGAAAUGGACGAAAGUCUGACCGAGCAACGCCGCGUGAGUGAAGAAGGUUUUCGGAUCGUAAAACUCUGUUGUUAGAGAAGCGGUAUCUAACCAGAAAGCCACGGCCAACUACGUGCCAGCAGCCGCGGGAAUUC